rnacentral:rRNA from 1 species
UACGUAGGGGGGCUAGCGUUGUCCGGAAUCAUUGGGCGUAAAGAGCGUGUAGGCGGCCCGGUAAGUCCGCUGUAAAAAGUCAAAAGGCUCAACCUUUGAAUGUCAGUGGAUACUGCCGGGCUAGAGUCCGGAAGAGGCGAGUGGAACUCCUGGUGUAGCGGUGGAAUGCGCAGAUAUCAGGAAGAACACCAACGGCGAAGGCAGCUCGCUAGGACGGUACUGACGCUGAGACGCGAAAAGCGUGGGGGAGCAAACAGG